rnacentral:rRNA from 1 species
AAUGCGAGAGCGGCGGACGGGUGAGUAACACGUGGGUAAUCUGCCCUCCAGUCGGGGAUAGCCUGUGGAAACACAGGAUAAUACCGGAUGCGAUGGUCCGACACAAGUUGGAUUAGGAAAGGGGCCAAGGCCCCGCUGGAGGAUGAGCCCGCGUCCCAUUAGCUAGAUGGCGGGGUAACGGCCCACCAUGGCGAUGAUGGGUAGCCGGCCUGAGAGGGUGAACGGCCACAUUGGAACUGAGACACGGUCCAGACUCCUACGGGAGGCAGCAGCUAAGAAUCUUCCACAAUGGACGGAAGUCUGAUGGAGCGACGCCGCGUGUGCGAUGAAGGCCGUGAGGUUGUAAAGCACUUUUCUUGAGGAGGAACAACACGACCAGGGAAUGGGUUGUGGAUGACGUGAAUCGAGGAAUAAGCCCCGGCUAACUACGUGCCAGCAGCUGC